AUUGAACGCUGGCGGCAUGCUUUACACAUGCAAGUCGAACGGUAACAGGCCGCAAGGUGCUGACGAGUGGCGAACGGGUGAGUAAUGCAUCGGAACGUGCCCAGUCGUGGGGGAUAACGCAGCGAAAGCUGUGCUAAUACCGCAUACGAUCUAUGGAUGAAAGCGGGGGACCGUAAGGCCUCGCGCGAUUGGAGCGGCCGAUGUCAGAUUAGGUAGUUGGUGGGGUGAAGGCUCACCAAGCCAACGAUCUGUAGCUGGUCUGAGAGGACGACCAGCCACACUGGGACUGAGACACGGCCCAGACUCCUACGGGAGGCAACAGUGGGGAAUUUUGGACAAUGGGCGCAAGCCUGAUCCAGCAAUGCCGCGUGCAGGAAGAAGGCCUUCGGGUUGUAAACUGCUUUUGUACGGAACGAAACGGCUCUCACUAAUACUGGGGGCUAAUGACGGUACCGUAAGAAUAAGCACCGGCUAACUACGUGCCAGCCGCCGCGGUAACAC
rnacentral:rRNA from 1 species